UACAGAGGUCUCGAGCGUUAGGCGGAAUCACUGGGCUUAAAGCGUGUGUAGGCGGAUCGUUAAGUGCCUUGUGAAAUCCCACGGCUUAACCGUGGAACUGCUUGGCAUACUGGCGGUCUUGAGCAACCUAGGGGCGAGCGGAACAAUGGUGGAGCGGUGAAAUGCGUAGAUAUCAUUUGGAACGCCAUGGUGAAAACAGCUCGCUGGGGGUUUGCUGACGCUGAGACACGAAAGCCAGGGGAGCAAACGGGG
rnacentral:rRNA from 1 species